GGGCAAGCAAUAGCUGAGCUUACUAGCCAUAUGGUUAAACUAGCGCAUGUGCCUACUCAGGUAUGGAAAGGGUACAAUCCAAGUAGUUGGUUUGGUAGCUGGUAUGAGUGGUUUGGAGGGCUUAAGGCAGUGGUAGGUGGAGUCCUACUGAUUUUAAUGUUGUGUCUACUCCUGCUGUGUCUUAUACCCUUAGUAGUUAGGUCUGUGCAAAGCCUGAUAGAAAAUAUAGCAGAGAGGAAGGCUGCUGCACAGAUAAUGGCAAUUUAUAAAUAUAAGGCUCUAGAUCAGGGAGAACCAAUG
rnacentral:lncRNA from 1 species